GUCCCCAUCGUCUAGAGGCCUAGGACAUCGCCCUUUCACGGCGACGACAGGGGUUCGAAUCCCCUUGGGGACGCCA
rnacentral:tRNA from 2 species